UAUGUUAAAAUAACCUAAAAUUCAAAUUCGUUCGAAAGUAAAAUUGUCGAGAAUCGUAUUUUAUCAAUGAAUAUCACACAGAAAAUAAAAAUUACUAUCAUUCGUGUCAACGUAGUGAAAAAUAAUUUUUUACAAUUCAAUUCUUGGUACUUUUACUGUCAAAUGCACUCUGAACCAGGGAUUUUGAUUAAAUUUCGAGAGCAACGGAGCGUCGCGAUCGUUCGAAACUUGGCAAAUAGAGGGCGCUGCAAUUAUCAUCGUUCCAUUGGGCUAUUUCGAUUUUCCGGUAUCUAGCUGACUCUACACCCACGGUUUCACAUGGCAGGAAAUUAAUUUUGCGGCAACACGUAUUCGCAAAAGAGAAAACGCGUUUCUAUGAAAGUUAUCUUAACCGAUGAAGUGGAAAUCGGCGAAAAAGCCGGUCGUUCGUUUAUAUUUCGCGUAGUUACGCAUUACCUAUCAUAGUCCACGCGUUCCGUUAUUAUAAAUUAUGAGAGAUAAAAAGUGUCGAUGCCGAGCAACGAGAGUGCAAACCGCGAAUAGCCUAGUUGCAUCUUUGCGGUCAACGAUCCUCCAUGACGCAGUGCGGAUGCUUAAAAAUUCGCUUCACCGAUCGUUCAAGGUUCAGGUGAACGUGGAAACUCGACAAUGACUGAAGAGAUUAAUAAGGUGACUGGCGAGAAAUGGGAGAAAACGGAAGAAGAGGAGGAGGAGGGUGGUGUCCAUGCUACCUACGAAAUUACGCGCGGAAAGAGGCACGAAAUAACGAAGAAGGAUAGAUUUAUUCCCUGGCACGUGUCGUUUCCACGAAUUGCUUCGUGUGCCACCGCCUCCUCACGUGAGACGCUUGGUUAUGCGAGUUUCCCCUUCCCUUUCGAUUAUGGGCAAAUGUUCUUAUAUUCGUUCUAUGAUAGUUAGAGAAGUACUUCGAACAUUGUGGCUAAAUUAAUUUCCGUGUCAUAAGUUUUACUUUACAACUGAUUAAAAAUAUAUUUUUGUAGGAAAAUGUAAAUUUGAAGGAUAAGAAAGUAAGAAUAAUAAAUAAUAAAUAUAAUACCGAUAGUUAAAAGCCACUGAUAGUUGGCGCUGGUGUCGCAUAUGACCAUAUCGUCAUAGUAUUCACAAAAGCAUUGUGUCUAUUAAAAAGAGACGGCAGUAUGACAUUGGGUAAUGACUUAGGCUAUAAAUGUACUCUACUUAUCCCGUUAUUAAGGCACAAGCUCAUCUUGACAUACUAUAAAACAAAAGAUACGUUUAUUUUGAUUAUUAAUCCCCUUUCCCUUUCACUCAUUGACCUUUUCUGCAAUUGGUAAAAAAAACUGCGAGUUUUGGAUUAGCCGUAUUGCGAUUAAAAAUUGUUUCUAAACGCCUUAUCGACUCGAGGACGCUUGAAUCUCGCUUGAAAUUCAAUAACGACAGGAUAAACCUACGCGUAAUUCGUUUUCACUGCAUCGUGUCACGGUAUAUGAAAAUAAGAAAACGAAUAAAAAAAGAAAUUUAAUUUAAUUAACUAGAUAAUUAAAAUUCAAUUCAUAUUAUCUCCACGGUAACCUAUAGCCUAAUCGGUUCGGUACGUAAUUAAGGUUGAUCAGGUUUCGCGUAACUCGUUCUCUGGCGUACAAACCGGCCGAAAACGGACUUGCUCGAAAUUGAGACAAAGUUUACCGAAAUCGAAAUCCAUAGUUUACUAACGACAAAUUCGUAUUUACCGACACGUGCCAAGCGAGUUUAGUUAAAGGGCGGAAUGAGUUUAGAUUGUGUGUGUGUGUCUGAUAAAACCAUUGGCAGAGUUUCGCGGUGAAUUCUCUCUGUCUCUCCCUCCCUCCCUCCCUCCCUCCCUUUCUCUCUCUCUCUCUCUCUCUCUCUCUCUCGUGCACGGUUAAAAACAUUCAACCCCAACGUGUGCGGUCAAAAUGGAAAGGCUCCCGGGGGCGAGUUCAGGGCCAACGGAAUUUCGCACCGGAUGCAAAUUGAUAAUAUGCUUUAAUCGUUCCUCUGUAAGUAACGAGUGAACCGUAUCGAAAGCGUGCGAGGGCGUGAACGUAGACUCGAUUCGCGAUCGAUGAAGGUGUAUCUGAAAAUUUGGCAAUUAGUGGAAUUAUAUUGUACUCGAGACAAUUAUCUGUGGAAUUAAUUAAGGAGUUAAUUUUUUCUGAAUUAAUUUCUGAAUAUUAUUGCCUUCGAUAUGUGUGUAAGUAUAAAUUUGGGAUAAUGAAUUUGAGAAAGAGAGUAAUUGAACGUAUUCAAAGUGUGCUUGGUCAAUAUUGAGAAUAAUUUUGGAUUCGUACCCACUUUUUUUAAAUCGUGUGAAUCAAAAUCUCAUUGAGAGUGUAAAAAAGAUCGUUAACAUCGAGUUACGUGUUCCUUUAUCGUUAUUAUUUUUAUUCGAAUUUUUAUUAAUGUAAGAUAACGUAUAUCGAAUUAUUUUGUUCAAUCUGUAUAAAGUAAAAUAAAAUUAGUCACUAAUAAAUUAGCGUAUUAAAUUAUCGACGGAUUUCCAAUCUGACGAACUCGUUAAAUUUUAAUUAUAAAUUCUCAAGUUGAUUAUUAAUUAUCAAUUCAAGAUUACCGAGACACUUAUCAUCUUGCAAAAUUAUAAAAUAUUUACAAUUAAGAAUUAAUUUCACGAUUUCUAAAUAUUUUCCAAUAAAAUAAAAGAUUAUUGAUGGAUGACGACCAAUCGAUUGUUUAGUCAUCAAAUCAUAAAAUCUCGAACUAUUAAAAUUAUUCAAUCACGAAAUAUUUACAAUAUCUGUGACGUUCAAACACCGCAAUAUCAAUUAAUUUCGUCAAAGGCACUGUUAUAAAACACUUUCAAACCAACGAUUAUAAAAUAAAAUAUUAUCGGCGCUUCGAAUUUUCGAACUAUCAAAAGAUAGAAAAAUUCUACGCCAAAGAAUUUUUCAAUUUUUUUUUAUUCAAAAUAAUUUUAAUUUAAAAAAAAAACAUAUACCUGAAUCAAUGAUGGGAAAAAUUUAAUAAAAACUCAAAGUUACGAAUAAAGUUACUUCGACAAAUUGCUUCAAUAAUUUAUCGUUUAAUAUAAUAAUAAUUCCAAAUAAUUGUAAUUGCCAAAAGUUAUAUGAAAAAUCUACUAGCAACGAAUAAAUGUUAAUUCAAGCAUUUUGAUAACUUAAAUUACUUGAAGUAACUUUAUUUUUAACUAGUUACUUUUUCAACGGAUUAAUCCCCAACUCUGGUGUCGCCGAGAAAGCUAAGAUCAACCUCAGCGUAAACCUUGAACGUUUAAGUGUAAGCAACUCGAGCAGGCAAACGACCGAACGAAUGAAAUUCUUCGCCCGGCGUCUGACCAGUUUCGAUUCGCUACUACUGCGAGCGCACGAGUAGUGGAAGUCGGCGAAAUAGGCGGGAUUCGAUUCCACGCGUCGAACGGAACGAAAGAAUAAAAAGUGAUCGGGUGAUCCGUCUCACAAAGGGAAGAGAAAUCUGUUGAGCGACUUGAGAAAAUCAAAGGGGAGAAAAGUUGUGGGCGAGUUACGUACAGGUUGGGUCAAAGGCUAUUUCCCUGUCACCGUGCCAAUCAAACCUUUAGCCUUUCGAUCUUAACCUCCCUCCCUCUCUUAUUAUAAUUACUAUAUAUUACUAUAUAUUGUAUAUAAUUAUUAUAUGUAUAUAAUAAAUGAUCGGUUAUUGAUAUAAAUGU